AGUAAAUAGAUACCCAGGUAGUCCACGCCGUAAACGAUGAGUACUAGGUGUAGGAGGUAUCGACUCCUUCUGUGCCGCAGUUAAACACAAUAAGUACUCCGCCUGGGAAGUACGGUCGCAAGAUUAAAACUCAAAGGAAUUGACGGGGGCCCGGCACAAGCAGCGGAGCAUGUGGUUUAAUUACGAAGCAACGCGAAGAACCUUACCUAGACUUGACAUCUCCUGAAUAGUGUAGAGAUACAUGAAGCCCUUCGGGUCGAGAAGACAGGUGGUGCAUGGUUGUCGUCAGCUCGUGUCGUGAGAUGUUGGG
rnacentral:rRNA from 1 species